ensembl:lncRNA LINC01010 long intergenic non-protein coding RNA 1010
AGAUAGAGUGAGACCAGAGAGAAGAAGUGGCCCAGGAAGUCAUAACCUCCUGUUCCUGACUUGGACUUUCUGUACCAACACUGUUAUAUAUGCAGAGGUGUCUGAAAAAUGAAUGCAGAUCAAUUUCCAGUUCCACACAGAGCACAUCUGUAAAAUAUGACCUUUGGAUAAUGGCUGGAGUGUUUACCUGCAGUAUUCGUUUUUGCAUGUGGCUUUCCCUAGAUAUGUCAGGAUACAGCAGGACCAAAACCUAGCCUUUGUCCUAUGUCUGGAGACUUCUUGGAAGCUGGAGCACACAAAUAGCUACAGCAAACUUGAGGAAUGGGCAUGAAUAGACUGGCUUCGGGGAACCUGCCAGCUUGGCCGUGUGGCCAAGGUAAUAGGCAAGCCAAGGCAGAGCUAGAGCUCAGAGCUGGAGGGGAAAUUAAAGCAGCAAAUGUAGAAACAUUAAGCCUGAAGAGGCGACGACGUUGAAUUCUAAAAUGCAGGCCAAAGCUCAGACUGCAAGCUGUCUGGCUGCUCCGGGUGUGCCCAGAAGUCAAAGUCCAGCAGGGGCAAAGGUGGAGGUGUGGUCCUGCACGUGGGGUGUUGGGGGGAUGUGGAAGAGGAGGUGCUUUAAGAUCCAGAGAUUCCAGCUGCCCUGGUGCACCCUUGGAAGAAUAAAAGGCUAGGAACUGGACAAGUCAGGCUCGAGUCCAAGCUGCCUGAGGAAUCGGGGAAAGAAUGGAGCUCAGAGUGGGAGGUCAGGGCAGUAUUUAAAAAUCCAGGAUAGCAGCAAAGCUGGCGGUGGCCCCUGACUCUGGUAAGGGCAGCCUGCAGCACCAUGCCAAGGGGGGCCUGACUGAUCAUGCCCUGCAUUUGCAAACAAGGAUUAGUAGGGUAUGAGUAGGAUUCUGCUGGUGCCUGGGAAGGCAGUGCCAUCUACAACUUUACAAAGUUUUAACAAAGGCCUGAAGGACACAACCUUCCCCAAAGUCCUGACGUCGCUGUUUGCUGGCAACAAAUAGAGUCAAAAGAAGAGAGGCACAGAAUGUGCCAGGGGUGUGCUGCGUACAGCCCCGAUGACCACAAGGCCUUCUUGGGUCAAGUUCUGCCAUCUCUGGUUAAGAUGGGCUCACCCUCUAGGACCCUGAUUGAGUCCUCGGACCACCAAGAGUGCCCCACCAAGAGCCUCCCUCUUCUGGUGACUCGUGCCUGCUUCCCGUGGAGAGCUCCAGAAGGGAGGAAACUGUGAGGAGGUGGAGAACGUGGCAGGGAUCCUAACUUUCUUACUGAAGGAAGUUCUUCACAAGUACCCAUCUGCCUUCAGGGAAGAAAACAUAACUCAUUUUGGUCUUUCAAAUUCAGUUCUCAAAACCAAAUCCUGUUGUCAGCAAUCUGUGUCCCAACGCCUUCUUCAGCAACAGCAUUUUCCCUGUGGAAUUAGUUUCCAAUGUUCUUUCUUAAAUAAACCACUGAAGAUUAAAAGGAA